rnacentral:tRNA from 1 species
GUGUAGCUCAGUGGUAGAGCCCUUGCCUACCACGCAUGAAGCCCUGGGUUCAAGCCCCCCAGUAC